AAUUAGGAAUAAUCCUUUAUUACUUAACUAUUAUUUGUAAAAGUUUCAAGAGUAUUAGAUUGAUACAACAUGAUUAAAAGAAAUAAAACCAAUAUAACGCCCCUUCAAAAGGAAAAGGCACACUGAACGUUAGUGACGCUCAAACUAACCGACCUACAAGGGAACACGUUGCACCAGCCCGCCACGAUUUUUAACCCUUAAUCAUCGAGUAAAAAUUUUAAAAAUAUAUAUAUAUGAAAUACAGCAGCAGUAGUGUAUUCAAAUAUCUUAAACAAUUUCUAAGGAAAAAGAUAGUAAAGUUUUGGGUUGUUCCCCUCAUAUCUCCUUUACCAGGGAGGGGGAUAGGGGGUUGAAAUUGCUCACAGUUGUUCUUUAGGCAAAAAGCAUUAUGUGUUAUAAAUAUUAACCGAAAUUGUUGCCGAGGCCGAUUCACUAUGCUUACACGGUUAGACUCUUUAAUAAAAUUUUGUAUUUUUAAACGAAAAUUUAAUGAAAUGAAAACAUUACUUCCAAUUAUUUUAUUUACCCACAUCAUAGUUUUUAUGAAGAAAGAACAUACUGUAUGCAAAACGUAUAUUACCUGAAUUUAUUAACUUCAGACUUCGACGCUAUGUCUAUAAAUAUUUUCAGAUCUUGAUUUGUUGUUAAGAUUAGUCAGCUUUAUGAUUUUAAAAUGCUUUAUCUGAUAAUACAAUAACUUUUCCAUCAUUAAGGAGCCACCUGGAUACCAGGAGAGAUGCAACAACAGUACUUUAUAGUAGGUAUAUUAGAUAAAAAGUCCCCUUUGAUCUAAGAACAUAAAAAAAAUGUUGCUGUCCCUAUUAGUUCCUAAGGAAAGAACUCGUAACAGUUUAUAUGGACUACCCUGUUUGGAGGCGAAUUCAAUAAGUCGUUAUUGUAAAGGCAAGGUUUUCCUGAUAUCAAGACAGCUGAAAAGUAUACAGCUACUUUAAUCUGAAAAUUUUAAUAAGCAAAUUCUCGAUUUGUACGUACUUUCUAUACGUUUUAGU